AUGACGUCAAAUCAUCAUGCCCCUUAUGACCUGGGCUACACACGUGCUACAAUGGUUGGUACAACGAGUUGCGAGUCGGUGACGGCGAGCUAAUCUCUUAAAGCCAAUCUCAGUUCGGAUUGUAGGCUGCAACUCGCCUACAUGAAGUCGGAAUCGCUAGUAAUCGCGGAUCAGCACGCCGCGGUGAAUACGUUCCCGGGUCUU
rnacentral:rRNA from 1 species